rnacentral:rRNA from 1 species
GACGAACGCUGGCGGCGUGCCUAAUACAUGCAAGUCGAACGCAGUGGGGACGGGUGAGUAACACGUGGGUAACCUCCCAUCAGAGGGGAUAACACUUGGAAACAGGUGCUAAACCGAUACUGAUGGAUGGACCCGCGGUGCAUUAGCUAGUUGGUGAGGUAACGCCUCACCAAGGCCACGAUGCAUAGCGGACUUGAGAGAGUGUUCGGCCACACGUUGACUGAGACACGGCCCGAACGCCUACGGGAGGCAGCAGUAGGGAAUCUUCGGCAAUGAACGAAAGUCUGACCGAGCAACGCCGCGUGAGUGAAGAAGGUUUUCGGAUCGUAAAACUCUGUGGUUAGAGAAGCGGUAUCUACCCAGAUAGCCACUGCUAACUACGUGCCAGCAGCCGCGGUAAUAC